rnacentral:rRNA from 1 species
AUUGAACGCUGGCGGCAGGCCUAACACAUGCAAGUCGAGCGAGUGGCGGACGGGUGAGUAAUGUCUGGGGAUCUGCCCGAUAGAGGGGGAUAACUACUGGAAACGGUGGCUAAUACCGCAUACCAUCGGAUGUACCCAUAUGGGAUUAGCUAGUAGGUGGGGUAAAGGCUCACCUAGGCGACGAUCCCUAGCUGGUCUGAGAGGAUGACCAGCCACACUGUGACUGAGACACGGUCCAGACUCCUACGGGAGGCAGCAGUGGGGAAUAUUGCACAAUGGGCGCAAGCCUGAUGCAGCCAUGCCGCGUGUAUGAAGAAGGCCUUCGGGUUGUAAAGUACUUUCAGCGGGGAGGCGUUACCCGCAGAAGAAGCACCGGCUAACUCCGUGCCAGCAGCCGCGGUAAUAC